UACGAAGGGAGCAAGCGUUGUUCGGAAUUACUGGGCGUAAAGAGCGCGUAGGCGGUUUGAUAAGUUGGGCGUGAAAUCCCCGGGCUUAACCUGGGAAUUGCGUUCAAAACUAUCAGACUAGAGUGUAGAAGAGGGUGGUGGAAUUUCCAGUGUAGAGGUGGAAUUCGUAGAUAUUGGAAAGAACACCAGUGGCGAAGGCGGCCACCUGGUCUACAACUGACGCUGAGGCGCGAAAGCGUGGGGAGCAAACAGGAUUAGAUACCCUGGUAGUCCACGCCGUAAACGAUGAGAACUAGACGUUGGGAUUUCAUUAUCUCAGUGUUGAAGCUAACGCAUGAAGUUCUCCGCCUGGGGAGUACGGCCGCAAGGUUAAA
rnacentral:rRNA from 1 species